rnacentral:rRNA from 1 species
CCUACGGGCGGCUGCAGUGGGGAAUAUUGCACAAUGGGGGAAACCCUGAUGCAGCGACGCCGCGUGAGCGAGGAAGUAUUUCGGUAUGUAAAGCUCUAUCAGCAGGGACGAAAAAGGACGGUACUUGACUAAGAAGCACCGGCUAACUACGUGCCAGCAGCCGCGGUAAUACGUAGGGGGCAAGCGUUAUCCGGAUUUACUGGGUGGAAAGGGAGCGUAGACGGCAAGGCAAGCCAGAAGUGAAAGGGCAGGGCUCAACCCUGUACAUGCUUUUGGAAGUGUGGUGUUAGAGUGCAGGAGAGGUAAGUGGAAUUCCUAGGGUAGCGGUGAAAUGCGUAGAUAUUAGGAGGAACACCAGUGGCGAAGGCGGCUUACUGGACUGUAACUGACGUUGAGGCUCGAAAGCGUGGGGAGCAAACAGGAUUAGAUACCCUUGUAGUC